rnacentral:lncRNA from 1 species
UAAAUGGUGAUAAUAAUGGCUAAAAAGAAUUUUACUGGUAGAGAAUGUGAGGAUGCAUGGCACGUGUCUGCCAGCCACAUCUUUGAUAGUAACAUGCUUGUAUUCUGCGGAGUUUUCAUGAAUGGAUUGAUUUUGAAGUACUGAAGGAUAGAUCUAGGGGGGGAAUCUGUUUCAGCGUAAAAGAAUCUUUCAAGUCCUAUAUUCUAUUUUACUGUGGAAUUUUUUAAGUAUAUGCUCCUGUUAUUUCUCAAAAUUUUUCAGGGGCUGGGAAGAUAGCUCAGUGGAUAAAUAGAUAAAGUACUUGCUGUGCAAAUUUGAGAGUUGGAUCCCCAAACCAAUAUAAACACAUGGUGGGAGUGGCAGCCCACCUGCCUGGGGAGAUAGGGAUGGGAUGCCCAGAGCAAGCUGGCUAGUUAGACUAGCCUCAUCGGCUGACCAUGCUUCAAAUGAAAGAUCCUACCUCACUAAAUAAGAUGGAGAAUGACCAAGGAAGAUUCUAUACCUAUACCUGUGUGCUCACUCACUGUUGUACACAUACAUGUAUGCACACACAUGUGACAUACAUAGGCAUGCACAUAUACCACACACACAUAAAAACACAUGUAAAAAGUGUUUUUAAUGUUUAAGAAUAUGCCUCCAUAGUGCUUUAUGCUUAUAUAUCGAUGCUUAAUGCUUCUAAGGUUCACUUUAAACAAUUUGAGAGAAGGUGGAAAGGUUCAAUGCAUAGAUUUAAAGCAGUCUGUGGAUCUUGACUGCAGCGGUGAAGUCAGAGACUUACCUCUCUGUGACGCUGACCGCACAGUCUCCAUGCAUAGUCUUGUCUGAUCUCUCAGGCUCAGUGGUUCACAAUCAAGCAAACGAUUGAAGAUGUUUAAUUAUGAGAUAAAGAGAUAUAAAAUAGUAAUAAUUUAAGAGUAGAUUAACAUUAUUAAUCUAUUAGUAGAUUAUAGUUUAGAUUAUUUUACUGGAUUAUAUUCUAGAAUCUCUUCGCAAACUCUCAAGCUUGUAAAACUUCACUCUUGAAGAGGCUGGAGCCCAGGUGAUGGCUGCUGCUGUCAGUGUCGGAGACUGGACACAGAGCCAUGACAGUGUGUGCAUUCUCCGCCGCCUCCAGCGAAGUCCAGAACGGGACUGAGAAUGACGUCAGUAACUGUAUCUUGUGAUGUUUAUAUUAAGUGUACAUGUGUAAUGAUUAACUAUGUUUUAAUUUUUAGCUUUUUGCACUGAUUCCUCUUCUCUCAGACUAAGCACCCUGCAGCUGGUCAAGAACCACAUGGCUAUUCACUAUAAUAAAAUCCUUUCAGCCAAAGGUAAACGUGCAAAUUUGAAUUUCCUGUGCCCAUGUAAACCCCAGCUUUACUUCUCAUUAGGAUGAACCUGUGGCAAAGGGGUUUUUACAUUAUUUCAAAGGGGACUUGGAUCUUAAAGUGGGAUGCCAACUAUUGAUUAUACCAAGGGCAAAAUUUAUGUUAACAACAUUUACAAUUACAUAAUGCCUAGAUAGCUCAUUCAAUGCAUUUAUUCUAAUAUUCUUUUGUUGUUAGAGAUUGCUCAUGUUUCUAUUUGUGUUUAAAAUUUUAGGUGUCUAUAUUGGGGCAUGCUUGUGUGUGUGUGAGAAAGCAAGUGUGUAUUCAGGUGCGUAUGAAUGUGUGUGUAUGCAUAUAGAAGUCAGAGGUCAACCUUAAGUGUCAUUUGUCAGGAGCUAUCCAUUUUAUUAAGAGAGGGUCACUCGGGGCUGGUGAGAUGGCUCAGUGGGUAAGAGCACCCGACUGCUCUUCCAAAGGUUGGAAGUUCAAAUCCCAGCAACCACAUGGUGGCUCACAACCAUCCAACCAAUAAGAUCUGACUCCCUCUUCUGGAGUGUCUGAGGACAGCUACAGUGUACUUACAUAUAAUAAAUAAAUAAAUAAAUCU